rnacentral:misc_RNA from 1 species
GAUGAAGAACGCAGCGAAAUGCGAUAAGUAAUGUGAAUUGCAGAAUUCAGUGAAUCAUCGAAUCUUUGAACGCACCUUGCGCUCCUUGGUAUUCCGAGGAGCAUGCCUGUUUGAGUGUCAUUAAAUUCUCAACCUCACCAGUUUUGUAACGAGACAGGUGAAGGCUUGGAUGUGGGGGUUUUGCAGGCUGCCUCAGUGCUGGUCUGCUCUCCUGAAAUGCAUUAGCGAGCUCAUAUUGAGCUUCCGUCUAUUGGUGUGAUAAUUAUCUACGCCGUGGAUUGGACUCAUGCUUGCUUCUAGCCGUCCGCAAGGACAAUUUACUUGACCAAUUUGACCUCAAAUCAGGUAGGACUACCCGCUGAACUUAAGCAUAUCAAUAAGCGGAGGA